UACGAAGGGGGCUAGCGUUAUUCGGAAUUAUUGGGCGUAAAGGGCGCGUAGGCGGCCUGGCAAGUGGAAGGUGAAAUCCCUCGGCUUAACCGAGGAACUGCCCUCCAAACUGCUUGGCUUGAGUCCGGGAGAGGUGAGUGGAAUUCCCAGUGUAGCGGUGAAAUGCGUAGAUAUUGGGAGGAACACCAGUGGCGAAGGCGGCUCACUGGACCGGAACUGACGCUGAGGCGCGAAAGCGUGGGGAGCAAACGGG
rnacentral:rRNA from 1 species